GACGAACGCUGGCGGCGUGCUUAACACAUGCAAGUCGAACGCUGAAGCUCAGCUUUUGUUGGGUGGAUGAGUGGCGAACGGGUGAGUAACACGUGAGUAACCUGCCCCCUUCUUUGGGAUAACGCCCGGAAACGGGUGCUAAUACUGGAUAUUCACUGGUCUUCGCAUGGGGGUUGGUGGAAAGGGUUUUUCUGGUGGGGGAUGGGCUCGCGGCCUAUCAGCUUGUUGGUGGGGUGAUGGCCUACCAAGGCUUUGACGGGUAGCCGGCCUGAGAGGGUGACCGGUCACAUUGGGACUGCGAUACGGCCCAGACUCCUACGGGAGGCAGCAGUGGGGAAUAUUGCACAAUGGGCGCAAGACUGAUGCAGCGACGCCGCGUGAGGGAUGGAGGCCUUCGGGUUGUGAACCUCUUUCGCUCAUGGUCAAGCCGCAACAAUGGUUGUGGUGAGGGUAGUGGGUAAAGAAGCGCCGGCUAACUACGUG
rnacentral:rRNA from 1 species